rnacentral:rRNA from 1 species
CAGUAGCGUAUAUUAAAGUUGUUGCAGUUAAAAUGCUCGUAGUUGAAGUUCGGAUGCAGCAGAGCUUGAAAACGCUGUUAUGGUGCUUCCGUUGCUUUUGCUUGUCCACAGUGCGUUGCAAGUACGUAUGUGCUUGUGCGUGCAUUUUACUUUGAGAAACAUAGGGUGUUCCACGCAUGUUACGGCAUGAAUAUUCCAGCAUGGGAUAAUCUGGUACGACUUCCAAUCUGCCAUUUUGGUUCGUAGGUUGGAAGUAAUGAUUAAUAGGGACUGUCGGGGGCAUUGGUAUUUGACUGUCAGAGGUGAAAUUCUUAGAUUCGUUGAGGACCAACCACUGCGAAAGCAUUUGUCAAGGAUGUCUCCAUUAA